UGGAGGGCAAGUCUGGUGCCAGCAGCCGCGGUAAUUCCAGCUCCAAUAGCGUAUAUUAAAGUUGUUGCAGUUAAAAAGCUCGUAGUUGAAUUUUAGGCCUGGCCGGACGGUCCGUCUUUGGCGAGUACUGUUCUGUCGUCGGGUCUAUCCUUCUGGUGAGCCGGUAUGUUCUUAAUUGGGCGUGCCGGGGAACCAGGACCAUUACCUUGAAAAAAUUAGAGUGUUUAAAGCAGGCUUUUGCUUGAAUAGAUUAGCAUGGAAUAAUAGAAUAGGACGUUGUGGUUCUAUUUUGUUGGUUUUAGGACCACCGUAAUGAUUAAUAGGGAUAGUUGGGGGCAUUAGUAUUCAAUUGUCAGAGGUGAAAUUCUUGGAUUUAUUGAAGACUAACUACUGCGAAAGCAUUUGCCAAGGAUGUUUUCAUUAAUCAAGAACGAAAGUUAGGGGAUCGAAGACGAUCAGAUACCGUCGUAGUCUUAACCAUAAACUAUGCCGACUAGGAAUCGGGCGUCGUUAUUUUCACGACUCGCUCGGCGCCUUAUGGGAAACCAAAGUGUUUGGGUUC
rnacentral:rRNA from 1 species